GGGAGGGGAAGGGGGGGAGAAAGCAGGCAGCGGGAGGCGGGCGGGCGGCAGCACGCGCUGACUCGCGCGCGCCCCCGGCCCCCUCCCCGUGAGGGCAAGGCGGAGGCGGUGCCGGUGCCUUCCCGCCGCGGGCAGGGCAGGGCAGGGCCGGGCCGGGCAGCGCCGCGCCCCGCCCCGCCGCGGGAGUGGCGGCCGGCGCGAGGCGAGGCGAGGCGCGGCGGCGCACCGCACCGCUCCACAUCGCACCUGCCAGCCGCGGGGCGCUGAGGGGAGGCGGGCGGAGGAGCCAGCCGGCGGCCGCGCAGCCCGCCCCGGCGUGCCCAAGGCGCGGCGGCCCCGAGGCAAUGGAGCAAGAGAAGUACCUGCCCGAGCUGAUGGCGGAGAAGGACAGCCUGGAUCCCUCCUUUGUUCACGCCAUGCGUCUCCUGGCCGACGAAAUUGAAAAAUUUCAGGGUUCUGAAGGCAAGAAGGAAGAUGAAGAAAAGAAAUACCUUGAUGUGAUCAGCAACAAAAACAUAAAGCUGUCAGAAAGAGUUCUGAUUCCUGUCAAACAGUAUCCAAAGUUCAAUUUUGUUGGGAAAUUGCUUGGACCAAGAGGAAACUCCUUGAAGAGGUUACAAGAAGAAACAGGUGCAAAAAUGUCCAUCCUGGGGAAAGGAUCCAUGAGGGAUAAAGCUAAGGAGGAAGAACUAAGGAAAAGUGGAGAAGCCAAAUACGCACACUUGAGUGAUGAGCUUCACGUAUUAAUUGAAGUGUUUGCUCCACCUGGGGAAGCAUAUUCUCGUAUGAGUCAUGCCUUGGAAGAAAUAAAAAAAUUCCUCGUUCCCGAUUAUAAUGAUGAAAUUCGCCAGGAGCAGCUGAGAGAACUGUCUUAUUUAAACGGUUCUGAGGAUUCAGCACGUGGACGGGGCAUUCGAGGAAGAGGAAUCCGUGUGCCACCUGCAGCUCCUUCAAGGGGACGUGGGGGUGCGAUUCCUCCGCCCCCGCCCGGACGAGGUGCCCAAGCACCCCGAGGAGCGCCGGUCACCCGUGGAGCCCUCCCCGUCCCACCAGUGGCGAGAGGAGUGCCCACCCCUCGAGCAAGGGGCGCCCCAGCUGUCCCGGGCUACAGACCACCCCCGCCACCUGCACACGAGGCCUAUGAAGAAUAUGGAUACGAUGAUGGCUAUGGGGGUGAAUAUGAUGAUCCAAGCUACGAGGCAUAUGAUAACAGUUAUGCCACCCAAACACAAAGUGUGCCUGAAUAUUAUGACUACGGUCACGGAACAAGCGAAGAGGCUUAUGACAGCUACGCACAAGAAGAAUGGGCCACAACCCGUUCCAGCCUAAAGGCACCACCUCCAAGGUCAGCCAGAGGGGGUUACAGGGAACACCCCUAUGGUAGAUAUUGAAGGUCCUCCUCAUCUGUGACCUCAUCUCAAAGACAAUUAAUAGCCUGUGGUCUCCACAUAAACAGCAACAAGACAAGGACUCACAGGCACUGGACAGCAAAGCAGCAGAUCUGCUGAGAAGUGGUCAGAUUUUUGGAGCCCUUAGGGAAGUACUGUACCUUUUGAACGGCAUUCGGGAAAUUGAGAGGGUUCAACGUUAUUUGCAAUAAAUCAGGGGGAUCUGAAGGACGGAGACUCAGGUUGGGACCCUCCACAGCCCUGAGUUCUGGACCUGCCAUUACCUCUUUAGGACAUGUCGGCACUCAAACUCACAGUGAUCUUACAAUGUAUCAGGUACAGAGUACUUCAUUAUGUGCACGAACAGAAAUGCUUAAAUGGAUGAAGCAGCUAUUUACGUCUGAUAGGAGCUAAGUGGGACACUAAAUUAAUGCCAAACAAAUAUUUUUGCACUGAGUUACUUAUUCACCUGGAGUAAGGCCAGAAAAAUAAGACCUGAACCUCUUUAAUCGUAUCCAUGAAACAAAUCUAAGAGCUGAGAACACUGCUCCGGCUGUGGGUGUCUGUGUGUGCCAUCCACUGGACUGUGAUAGGCAAGCAGGACACAAAAGUUAGUGAGACUUUAAUCAAGAAAAAAAAAUCUAAUGAACAGCAAUUUGAAACACAGCAUUUGGAAAGGUCAAAAUGGUACAUUACAUCCUUAUUAUCCAAAAGAACAGAUGAGUUUAAUAUCCUGGCAGCAUUUUCCUGUGAAGAAGAUAUUAAACAAGAACUGAAAAUGGCACAAGGUUCCCUCUUCCUUUCUUAUGACAAAGAUUGUAACAAGGUGAUGAAACUACACAGAAUAAAUCUUUCUGCUUUAAUGUUCAGGCUGUGGAUCCUGCCUAGAUUUCAAAAGCCUAAGCUAACCAAAGACCCAACACACAGCUAUUUGUUUCAGGUCCUUUACAACACAUUUUCCUGCUUAUAUGACUCAGUUUCCAUUAAUAUUUUCUAGCCUUAGAGAUGUUAACAGAAGGUACACAGUGCGGUGGGUUUUGGCAAAUGCUAACUGUGUUGAACUGCAACAAAUAAUGCACUGCAUCAGUACUGCUUAAAGUUUAGAUUUUUCAGCUUCUGUUUGAAUAGACCUAAGAAUAGAGAUAAUGUAUUCCAACAGACAACGCAUUGCAUGUGUCCUGCUUUGGAGAGUCCCUGAAGGUAUGGAACUGUUUGAAGGCAAAGGAAUUUGUAGUACAUCCCAUAGGUUGUUAACAAUUUGAUUACUACAAGGAACUGUCGCAAUUUGCUUCCGUAAGUCGUUGACUGCAUGAAGACUCUUCCUUUUACUUUAUAGGUCUAAGGGGAGAAGAAAACCUUCUGGAACUUGAUGUUGUAUUUUAACCUAAAAUACACCAUCAGGGUCCUCAUGUUUAAAUCUUAUUAUGGCAACUGAACAAACGCUAUGCUUAAAAAUCAAAAAAUGAGUAUAUGGUGUGCACUUUUAUUAGUUACUUGUAUUCAUUCCACAUGAGAUAUGAGAAGUCUGGUAUUAUGUAAGAAUGUAACAAGUUAUAUAUUAAAGACAUUCAUAAUUA